ACGAACGCUGGCGGCGUGCUUAACACAUGCAAGUCGAACGGAAAGGCCCCUUUGGGGGUACUCGAGUGGCGAACGGGUGAGUAACACGUGAGUAACCUGCCCUUGACUUCGGGAUAACUUCAGGAAACUGGGGCUAAUACCGGAUAGGAAUCCUUGCUGCAUGGUGGGGGUUGGAAAGCUUCGGCGGUUUUGGAUGGACUCGCGGCUUAUCAGCUUGUUGGUGGGGUAGUGGCUUACCAAGGCUUUGACGGGUAGCCGGCCUGAGAGGGCGACCGGCCACAUUGGGACUGAGAUACGGCCCAGACGCCUACGGGAGGCAGCGGUGGGGAAUAUUGCACAAUGGGCGGAAGCCUGAUGCAGCAACGCCGCGUGCGGGAUGACGGCCUUCGGGUUGUAAACCGCUUUCAGCAGGGGCGAAGCUUGUGGUGACGGUACCUGCAGAAGAAGCACCGGCUAACUACGUG
rnacentral:rRNA from 1 species